GGGUUGUGAGGUUAAGCGACUAAGCGUACACGGUGGAUGCCCUGGCAGUCAGAGGCGAUGAAGGGCGUGCUAAUCUGCGAUAAGCGCCGGUAAGGUGAUAUGAACCGUUAUAACCGGCGAUACCCGAAUGGGGAAACCCAGUGUGACUCGUCACACUAUCAUUAACUGAAUCCAUAGGUUAAUGAGGCGAACCGGGGGAACUGAAACAUCUAAGUACCCCGAGGAAAAUAAAUCAACCGAGAUUCCCCCAGUAGCGGCGAGCGAACGGGGAGGAGCCCAGAGCCUGAAUCAGCAUGUGUGUUAGUGGAAGCGUCUGGAAAGGCGCGCGAUACAGGGUGACAGCCCCGUACACAAAAGCGCAUGUGCUGUGAGCUCGAUGAGUAGGGCGGGACACGUGGUAUCCUGUCUGAAUAUGGGGGGACCAUCCUCCAAGGCUAAAUACUCCUGACUGACCGAUAGUGAACCAGUACCGUGAGGGAAAGGCGAAAAGAACCCCGGCGAGGGGAGUGAAAAAGAACCUGAAACCGUGUACGUACAAGCAGUGGGAGCCCCACCACCAAAGCAUUCUCUGGUGUUGAAGGCCCUGCAAAGCAGCAUCGCGGUGGCGGAGCGUCGUUUGCGACGCCCAACACACAAAACAAGCGGUGAGUGCUUUGGGGUGGGGUGACUGCGUACCUUUUGUAUAAUGGGUCAGCGACUUAUAUUCUGUAGCAAGGUUAACCGAAUAGGGGAGCCGGAGGGAAACCGAGUCUUAAUUGGGCGUUAAGUUGCAGGGUAUAGACCCGAAACCCGGUGAUCUAGCCAUGGGCAGGUUGAAGGUUGGGUAACACUAACUGGAGGACCGAACCGACUAAUGUUGAAAAAUUAGCGGAUGACCUGUGGCUGGGGGUGAAAGGCCAAUCAAACCGGGAGAUAGCUGGUUCUCCCCGAAAGCUAUUUAGGUAGCGCCUCGUGAAUUCAUCUCCGGGGGUAGAGCACUGUUUCGGCUAGGGGGUCAUCCCGACUUACCAACCCGAUGCAAACUGCGAAUACCGGAGAAUGUUAUCACGGGAGACACACGGCGGGUGCUAACGUCCGUCGUGAAGAGGGAAACAACCCAGACCGCCAGCUAAGGUCCCAAAGUCAUGGU
rnacentral:rRNA from 1 species